UACGUAGGGUGCUAGCGUUGUUCGGAAUCAUUGGGCGUAAAGCGCGUGUAGGCGGUUAGUUAAGUCAGAUGUGAAAUCCCUGGGCUCAACCUAGGAAGUGCAUUUGAAACUAAUUAGCUAGAGAGUGGUAGAGGAAGGUGGAAUUCCGUGUGUAGAGGUGAAAUUCGUAGAUAUACGGAGGAAUACCGGUGGCGAAGGCGGCCUUCUGGACCAUUGUUGACGCUGAGGUGCGAAAGCGUGGGGAGCAAACAGG
rnacentral:rRNA from 1 species